UACAGAGGGUGCAAGCGUUGUUCGGAAUUACUGGGCGUAAAGGGCUCGUAGGCGGCCAACUAAGUCGGACGUGAAAUCCCUCAGCUUAACUGGGGAACUGCGUCCGAUACUGGAUGGCUUGGAUUUGGGAGAGGGAUGCGGAAUUCCAGGUGUAGCGGUGAAAUGCGUAGAUAUCUGGAGGAACACCGGUGGCGAAGGCGGCAUCCUGGACCAACACUGACGCUGAGGAGCGAAAGCCAGGGGAGCAAACGGG
rnacentral:rRNA from 1 species